rnacentral:lncRNA from 1 species
CCUGCCCCCCACAGCCGCCAGCGCAGAGCCACGCGCUGCCACCUUCUUUUUCACAGUCAUCUUUCAUGAUAAGUUAUUGUAGAAGAAUUUAGGUUUGGAAAUGGGUCUUGAUAUGAAAGCCAGUGAGAGAGAAAGAGCAAAAAGAUUGAACAGGAGAAUCUGGAACCAGGAGUGAGCAGAGCUGGCCCCAGGCCUUGGUGGCUGUGUACUAGUUCUGUGACCUGCAAUCAGUCACUUAACUUCUGUGAGCUCCUCUCUUUCCGUCUGUAAAAAAGGAAUAUGUACUACCCACUUCCUGAGUAGAUGUUGAAGAUGUUGUAAAAGGUUCGAGUCAACCAAUUAAAAGCAAUAGAUCACAUGAAGAUGAGUAUAUCUUCUGUUUGUUGGGACAUAAUCCAGAGAGGAUCUUUCUCCCCAGAUAUUAUGGGAUGGCCAC